GACAGACGGAGACAGUGAGGGAGACAGACACGGACAGAGAGGGAGACAGACAGACAGAGAGGGGGACAGACAGACAGAGAGGGGGACAGACAGAGACACGGACAGAGAGGGAGACAGACAGAGGCAGACAGACACGGACAGAGAGGCAGACAGACACGGACAGAGAGGCAGACAGACACGGACAGAGAGGGAGACAGACACGGACAGAGAGGGAGACAGACACGGACAGAGAGGGAGACAGACACGGACAGAGAGGGAGACAGACACGGACAGAGAGGGAGACAGACACGGACAGAGAGGGAGACAGACACGGACAGAGAGGGAGACAGACACGGACAGAGAGGGAGACAGACACGGACAGAGAGGAGACAGACAGAGACAGAGAGGGAGACCGACAGAGACACGGACAGAGAGGGAGACAGACAGAGACAGAGAGGGAGACAGACACGGACAGAGAGGGAGACAGACAGAGACAGACAGGCCUCAAACAGUCCAAUGCACAGGGUCCCUAUUUGUAUCGUGCACUUUUUCACUACCCGCCAUUUGACCGCGUCUAUAUACAUGCCUUAUUUGUGGAAUGUGUCAAAUCUGAGUGAAAAUUCUGACUAGUUUUUAUUUUACUUCACCGCUAUUCAGUGUAAGCAUUUUACGACGUGUUCCUCUCCGAAUAACGCGGCACACGAACCCGAACCCGACGGAUGGGUCCGAUCGCUAACCGUGUGCCUUCUGAACCACGUACAGGCGGUGUUCUUCAGACGACAGAUGACCUUUCUGCUUUCAGUCUCGCGUCCGCACCAGAUCGUGCGGAGGAGUGAAUUAAAGGAGCCUGUCAUACAAAUUCCAUAUUAAAAUACCACCAGGUGUGUGCAGAUAGUACAGUUUUAUAUUUCUAUUCCGAUCACUUAAAGGGGCAGCGUGUCAUUUUUAGAGCCCCUAAGUUAACACUGUACUGUGUGAAACCGAAUGGCUUUUCUACAUCUCUGAACACUUUGAAACAUUACAGACUGCAC
ensembl:lncRNA